rnacentral:tRNA from 1 species
GGAGAGUCCGCCCUAGGUGAGGCAAGCGGGUUGCUAACCCGUCGCGGGGAAACUCGUGGGCCGGUUCGACUCCGGCACUCUCCGCCA